UUUUAGCCCCGAUAGCAGUGGAAAUCCUUUAUUUCCUGAGUUUUUUCAGGAAGUAAAGAUUGCAACGAAUAGCGGGAUUAGCU
rnacentral:sRNA from 1 species